GAUGAAGAACGCAGCGAAAUGCGAUAAGUAAUGUGAAUUGCAGAAUUCAGUGAAUCAUCGAAUCUUUGAACGCACAUUGCGCCCGCCAGUAUUCUGGCGGGCAUGCCUGUUCGAGCGUCAUUACAACCCUCAGGCCCCCGGGCCUGGCGUUGGGGAUCGGCGGAAGCCCCCUGCGGGCACAACGCCGUCCCCCAAAUACAGUGGCGGUCCCGCCGCAGCUUCCAUUGCGUAGUAGCUAACACCUCGCAACUGGAGAGCGGCGCGGCCACGCCGUAAAACACCCAACUUCUGAAUGUUGACCUCGAAUCAGGUAGGAAUACCCGCUGAACUUAAGCAUAUUAAUAAGCGGAGGA
rnacentral:misc_RNA from 1 species